UUUAGAUUUUUUGAACAAUAGGUUGCAUCUUUUAAAUAAAUGUUCUAUAAACUUCUAUUUUAGGAAAAUUAUUAUUUUUGUAGAGAAAUAUUGUAGAUUUGGGAUUGUGAUUUAGAAAUUAGGAAAACAAAAGUCUUUUUUGAUAGAUGAGCAUUAUUUUAGAAUUUUUGAUCAAUAGGUUUUAUUUUAAAAUAAAUUUUCUAAACAGUGCUAUUUUGGGAAAGUUAUCAAUUUUGUAGAGAAAUAUUGUAGCUUUGCGAUUAUGAUUGAGAAAUUAGGAUAACAAGAGUUUUUGUUGAUCGAUGGGCAUUCUUUUACAAUUUUUGAUCAAUAUGUUCACUACAAGAAAACAUAUUUUUUACUAGGGCAGUAUUCGUUGUAAAUUCGUCGUAAACGGGGUGUUACGACGAAUUAACGUCGAAAGACGUUUCGUUGUUAAACGUCCGUCGUAACGGAGGUUUCGUCGUAAACGACUCGUUACGUUUACGACGAAAUAUAUUCCUCGUAAAGCGCAGGUAAAGGAUUCGUCGUAAACGACACGUAAGCUUUCGUCGUAAAGCCCACGUAAUUAUUUCGAUGUAAAGCACAGGUAAAUACAUUCGUUGUAAAUCACUCGUAAACAUUUCGAUGUAAAACUCUCGUAAAUGUUUCGAUGUUAAUCACUCGUAAACAUUCGAUGUAAACUCCAUGUAAUGUUUACGAGGAGUUUACAUCGUUUCUUAUUAUAUUAUUAUUAAUUAGUAUAUAAUAAAUUUUAAUUUAUAUUUAAUAUUCAGAAUUUAAAAUAAUUUAAAUUUUAAAACGAAAUAUGAAAUUGGAAAACAUAUUUUAAAAAGUCAUACAAUAAUAUUUAAAUUCAUAAUACAAACAGAAAAAAUAAAAAAAACUACAUAUUCUCGAAGUAGUUGGGGGGUUGCUCGGCUGUUGACGGGUUGGAUCGGACUCUUGGGGAUCUCGUGGUGGCAUUCCAAGAGCGGCUCGUCUCUCACUCAACAUUCUCUGCAUAACCGGGUUUCCCACGGCCAUCACGUCUAGCAAAUCCUCAAGAGAGUCUAAACGACCCUGCUGGCUAUCCAUUCGAGCCUUCAUCUGAGCAGUCUCUUCAUCCCGUCUCGAAGUGUAUGACGAAGUUGUCCUUGCAACUUCGUUAACAAAGCCUAUACCGACUAUCCGUCCCUUCUUUUUAGGAGCCACCUAUAAAAUCAAAACAUAUAUUAAUAUAGUUAAUUAUGUUAAAAUAUUUAAAAUAAUGUAAACAAAAAUUUUAAGUUGUACCUCUUCGAAGAUUUUGUCGACCUCUUCGGUGGACAAUGUGACUGGUAAUCCAUCGGGAGACUCCUGGGUUAGUUGCGUCUCCCGUUCUUCAAUCCGACCAGCCACUGUUUGGAAGAGUUUCUCAGAUGCAGGAUCCACAAAAACUCCGUCGGAUGUGGCGUGAGUCAUCUUGAAUAGGUCAGACAGAGAAGGUAAGACUCCCGUCUUCUCGAACUACAAAAAAAAAAUUAAAUUAAAUAUUAUAAAUUAUAUUAAUUGAAUAUUUUAAAAUAUAUAUUUAAAACAAAACUUACAGCUUCUAGACGGACUCCUGCAUGAGGUUUUUGUCCGGUUCUGUGAAGCAUGGGCAAAUGACCAUCUUUAUCCUUCGUCCUUCGAGAAGCCGAGCACGAAUUGGCCUUUUUGAUCGAAGAGGGGUGCUCCCAAUAGGCGAUGAGGCCAUCCCACACAUCCGUCGUGAGCUCAGUGGGCUUUCCCUCAUACCCGUAGAUCUCCCACUUGUCCUUCCAAUCAGAGACUGUGUUGCAGAGGCGUAUCUUUGCCUUUGCAACGAAUUCCGCCUUCACCCUCUCGGUGAUUCCCAAAGACCAAUGCCACUUUUGCUGAAACAUAAAAAUUUUGAAAAAAUUACAAUUAAUAAUAAAUAUUAAAAAUAUAUAUAUAUAUAUAAAAGUGAAAAUUUAAUUAAAUUUAAAAAUCUUACCGCAAAACAUUUAAACCACGUGAUCUUAACGUGAUUUGGUGUCUUGCUCCAGUUCGGGUAUGCCCCGUCGUAGUAACCCUUAAUCGUCGCCGAAACGCUCCGGCUAACACGGUUGUUAGCCCCAAACCUGAAAAAAAAAAAUUUUAACCGUUACAAAAUAAAAAUUAAUUAAAUUUUAAAGUAAUAAAAAUUAAUAACUUACCAAUAAGUUCCUCGGGGUCUAUCGGGGUCUAGAACAUCCAAACCCUCCCGUCCAGGCUGGGCAAGCAAAUCCUCCACCGUAUAUCUCGCGAAGGGAGCAUAUGAAGGCACACGCAAAUCCGGAUGAACUGCACCUUCUGGGACAGGCUCAGGUGCAGCCGCUGGAGGAGGAGGUGGAGGCAUCUGCGGUGGAAGAGGAGGACUCGAAAAAACUCUCUGAGAAGUCUGAGAGUCUGGAACUGCAUCGGAAGACGAUGGACCGGAAGAAGAUGUACCGGAACCAUCGCCAAACAACUGGGCAUAAGUAGGUGCUGCUGGUUUCCUUCUAGGAGCCAUCUAAAAAAAAUUUAAAUAAAUUUAAUCAAUUAUGACGACAUAAUUAAAAAAUUAUUCUGUUACCUAACUAAUCACCUAAACUAUAGUAUUCCGUCAUCUAACUAAUCACCUAAACUAAUUAUCUAAAUAAUCACCUAAACUAAUUACCUAACUAAUUAAUAACCUAAACUAACUUAAAAAAAAAAAGAAGGAGGGAAGAGAAUGUACCUUAGGGAGAGGAGAGGAGUUUAGGAGGAAUGGACGAGGCAGCCUCGUCUCGGCGUCCCAAUAUAUAAAAAAUGUUUCGUCGUAAACGCGACGUAACAUUACGACGAAGUUACCAGGCCCGCGUUUUUUCAUUUACGACGAAGUUACCAGGCCCGCGUUUUUCGAUUUACGACGAAAUUACGUCGAAACAUCGGUUUACGACGAAUUUACAAGGCCCACGUUUACGACGAAGUUACCAGGCCCGCGUUUUUCCAUUUACGACGAAAUUACGUGGAAACAUCGGUUUACGACGAUUUUACAACGCUUAACCCUAAACACCGAGAAUGAAAUCCCUAAACCCCAAAGUCACAUAUCAUCUAACAUCAUAUCUCUUCUUCUCUACUACUUUGUGCUCUUUCUCCAACUUAAACUCUAAAACCCUAAAACUCCAAAUAAUUUUUUUAAAAUUAACACAAAUACAUAUUAUAUAAAACAACAUUUGUUACACAUACAUUAGGAUGGUAAAAAAACAAUAUAUCUUUAAACAUACGUUACAAUAGAGAAAUACAACAUUUGUUACAUAUAUUACAUCACUCUAAAUCGUUUUCGUUCUCAUCAAUAUUACAUCACUCUAAAUCGUUUUCGUUCUCAUCACUAUCAUUACAAUCAUCCAAUAGGGUAGAUCCUUCCAAUAGGGUAGCUCCCAAAAUAUACUCUUCUCAAUAUGCAUGACAUCCAUAUUGUGGCGUAAGAGAAGAUCCUUCCAAUAGGGUAGCUCCCAAAAUAUACUCUUCUUAUGCCAAUUGUGAGACACACCAUACCCAUCAGACAUAUUUCCAGGAACAUGCCAAUUUCCUCCAACUCUAAUUGUUUCCUGAGCUCCGUAAUAAUCAAUGUCUGCUUCGAUCUGCUGGCCGGUGAGAUAUGGAGGAGGACCGUAUCUGACAAUUUUUUUGUGCCGAAACAAUGUCUUAUUUCUUCUGUACGGAUGGGCAAGUGGAAGAAAGCGACGAUGACAGUCAAACCAACAACUCUUCCUACCAUUCUUCAGUUGAAAAGCAUCCGUCGAUCCAAGACAAUAUGGACAAGAUAAUCUUCCAUGUGUUGUCCAGCCAGACAACAUCCCAUAAGCAGGGAAAUCACUUAUCGUCCACAGCAGAACUGCUCGCAUCGUAAAAUUGUUUUUCAAGGAACAAUCGUACGUCCUCACCCCUUCUGACCACAAUUGCUUUAGCUCUUCUAUCAACGGUUGAAGAAAAACAUCAAGAGACCGUUUUGGAUGCUUCGGCCCAGGGAUUAAUAUGGUCAAAAAUAGAAAUUCUUGUUCCAUGCACAUAUCCGGCGGUAAAUUGUANNNNNNNNNNNNNNNNNNNNNNNNNNNNNNNNNNNNNNNNNNNNNNNNNNNNNNNNNNNNNNUAAAGCGCAUUGAAUACACGUUUUCACCUAAAUAUAACGGUAACAUGUUUCGUUGUAAUGUCGAUGUAAUGAUUACGACGUAUUUCUCAUUCCACGUACAUUCGUCGUAAACUUACAUGGAUUUUACGACGAAACCUGUUCGUCGUAAAUUUACAUGGCGUUUACGACGAAAGUUGGAUUCCUCGUAACUUCGUUGUAAACACCAUGUAAAUUUACGACGAAAUAUUUUCGUCGUAAAUCUUCGUUGUUAUGGGCACGUUUUCUUGUAGUGGUUGUAUUUUUUAAAUAUAUUUUAUAAGAACUGCUAUUUUAGGAAAGUCAUCAUUUUUGUAGAGAAAUAUUGUAGAUUUGGGAUUGUGAUUGAGAAAUUAGGAUAACAAGAGUUUUUGUUAGUAGAUGGGCAUUCUUUUAUAAUAUUUGAGCAAUUGAUUGCAUUUUUAAAAUAAAUUUUGUAAAAACUGAUAUUUUAGGAAAGUUAUUACUUUUGUAGAGAAAUAUUUUGGAUUUGAGAUUGUGAUUUAGAAAUUAGGAUAACAAGAGUUUUUGUUGAUAGAUGGACAUUCUUUUAGAAUUUUUGAGCAAAAGGUUGCAUCUUUUAAAUAAGUUUUCUAUAAACUUCUCUUUUAGGAAAAUUAUCAUUUUUGUAGACAAAUAUUGUAGAUUUGGGAUUGUGAUUUAGAAUAACAAGAGUUUUUUUUUUAUAGAUGGACAUUCUUUUAGAAUUUUUGAUCAAUAGGUUUUAUUUUUAAAUAAAUUUUCUAAAAAGUGCUAUAUGGAGAAAGUUAUCAAUUUUGUAGAGAAAUAUUGUAGAUUUGAGAUUGUGAUUGAGAAAUUAGGAUAACAAUAGUUUUUGUUGAUCGAUGGGCAUUCUUUUAUAAUUUUUGAUCAAUAUGUUGCAUUUU
rnacentral:lncRNA from 1 species